rnacentral:lncRNA from 1 species
AAAUAUGUUGAGUAUCUUGUCUCUUAAAGUUGUGUUCUAAAAAGAGAGAAAAGAAAAUAGACAAGAUGAAAAAAAAAAGAAAAAAAAUACAGAAAAAUGAGAAAAAUUAAAAAAAAAAUUGUGAAUAAUGGAGUCAAGAAGAGGAUUGAAUUAGAGGGUUUGGGUGUGAUUUGAUUGUAUUUUCACUUGUUCCCCAUUGCUCCUCUAUUUCUUUUGGUUUGUAGCUUCUUAUCCAUAUGUUAUCCUCCCUUGUC